rnacentral:rRNA from 1 species
UACGUAGGUGGCAAGCGUUGUCCGGAUUUAUUGGGUUUAAAGGGUGCGUAGGCGGCUUUCUAAGUCAGUGCUGAAAUAUCCCGGCUUAACCGGGAGGGUGGCAUUGAUACUGCAGAGCUUGAGUGAAGUCGAGGUAGGCGGAAUUGACGGUGUAGCGGUGAAAUGCUUAGAUAUCGUCAAGAACACCGAUAGUGAAGACAGCUGACUAGACUGCAACUGACGCUGAGGCACGAAAGUGGGGGGAUCAAACAGG